rnacentral:rRNA from 1 species
AGAGUUUGAUCAUGGCUCAGAUUGAACGCUGGCGGCAUGCCUUACACAUGCAAGUCGAGCGGCAGCGCGGGGGCAACCCUGGCGGCGAGCGGCGAACGGGUGAGUAAUGCAUCGGAACGUGUCCUCUUGUGGGGGAUAACCAGUCGAAAGAUUGGCUAAUACCGCAUGAGAUCGAGAGAUGAAAGCAGGGGACCGCAAGGCCUUGCGCGAGAGGAGCGGCCGAUGCCGGAUUAGCUAGUUGGUGGGGUAAAGGCCUACCAAGGCGACGAUCCGUAGCUGGUCUGAGAGGACGACCAGCCACACUGGGACUGAGACACGGCCCAGACUCCUACGGGAGGCAGCAGUGGGGAAUUUUGGACAAUGGGGGCAACCCUGAUCCAGCCAUGCCGCGUGUGUGAAGAAGGCCUUCGGGUUGUAAAGCACUUUCGGACGGAACGAAAUCGCGCGAUCUAAUAAGUCGCGUGGAUGACGGUACCGUAAGAAGAAGCACCGGCUAACUACGUGCCAGCAGCCGCGGUAAUACGUAGGGUGCGAGCGUUAAUCGGAAUUACUGGGCGUAAAGUGUGCGCAGGUGGCUGAGCAAGUCGAGUGUGAAAUCCCCGGGCUUAACUUGGGAAUUGCGCUCGAAACUACUUGGCUCGAGUGUGGCAGAGGAAGGUGGAAUUCCAGGUGUAGCGGUGAAAUGCGUAGAGAUCUGGAG